rnacentral:lncRNA from 1 species
AUUGGCAAGAGUGGGGACAUGGAAGCUGUGUUCAGGCCGGUCCACGCUGGGUGACCCAUGUGACCUGCUGCUUAGCAAUUCCUUGUCACCAUCUUCCCUUCUCAGCCUCUUUUUUCAUGCUAACAGGCAUAAAUGAAAUGAUAAAAGUUUGAGCUCUUCUCGUGGAAUUCUCGUGAUACAGAUAUGUGCUACAUGUUCAUCAUCUCGUUGGUCUUCACCAUGAUAACUGUGGAGUAAGAAUUAUAAGCAGGUCACAGAUUAGGGACUUGAGAUUGACAGUUUGGCUUCCCUGUUCUGGGUGGCAAAGCCUGUGGAGUACUCACCUACCUGCUGCAUGAAGGCAGCAUGGAGGGACUGUGGUGGAUUAUCUGCAAAGAUGGCCAAAAUUCUCUCAUCCCUGCAGGCACAUACAAGAUGCCAGAAUCAGUCAAAACUAAGCUCACUGUCCUUGCUAAUAUUCUGCCCCAGAGAAGAACUGAAGCUCAGCUCUUCACCCUACAGAAAGCCUGAAUUUUGUAAAUGUUCUGCUUAGAAUGAGGAAGAAAGAUGAAGAAUGAGGAGGAAGAAGGAAGGAACGAGAGAGAGGUAAAGCCAACAAGCAGAACAGACCUACAUUUGCAGCAUCUCCAAGUUUCUGCAACAGCAUUAUGUUGUUGUUAUGUUUUGUUUUAAUAAAAGCACAUACCAUUAAAAAAAAAAAAAAA